rnacentral:lncRNA from 1 species
CAGGCUGUCUUGGGACUUCAAUCUAGAUUAACUUCCUAAAAAGAUUCUUCUAUUUCCUUUCAGCUCUCAGGAGAUGCAGAUAUUUUUGUUAGAUUCUAUUCUGUGCCCUCCAGCUGGUGACAGGAAAUAUGUCGUUUGACUUUAUCCAAUGGGCAGAGGUACUUUGAAGAGUCAACUCAGAAGAGCAACAGCCUUUCCUGUUGGCUGCAGUUGCUGAGAGUCUCUCCACAUGUAAGACCUCUUUGUAGGCUAUGUAUGGGUAACCACACAUUCAUGAGGAGAAAAUCAAAUCUCUACAGUUAAUUUCUAUAACAAACUUUACUUUGGAUGCAUCUAAAGUCAGCCUGCGUGGUCCUUGGAAGUUCCUGAGGAAAUGUGAAUGUUCAGAUAAGAAGGCCAACGUCAUCCAUCAACUCUGCAAUGGAAGGAUAGAAUACUGUCUUCCUUUUCCUUCUAGUGCCAUAAGUGCUGUAAAGUAAGCUUAAGCCAAAUUUGUUGUUCACACCUUCUAAUAAGGUUACAUGAGACAACUCACAGUCAGAGCAAAAGAUGGAUUCCACCAAAGCAGAGAAUCUAACCUAAUUCAUUUACAUGCAUCAAGAAUAGUGUC